UGGCUCAGCGGUAAAGCAUCUGCCUGCAAUGCAGGAGACCCAGGUUUGAUCCCUGG
rnacentral:tRNA from 1 species